AUUGAACGCUGGCGGCAUGCCUUACACAUGCAAGUCGAACGGUAACAGGUCUUCGGAUGCUGACGAGUGGCGAACGGGUGAGUAAUACAUCGGAACGUGCCCGAGAGUGGGGGAUAACGAAGCGAAAGCUUUGCUAAUACCGCAUACGAUCUCAGGAUGAAAGCAGGGGACCGCAAGGCCUUGCGCUCACGGAGCGGCCGAUGGCAGAUUAGGUAGUUGGUGGGAUAAAAGCUUACCAAGCCGACGAUCUGUAGCUGGUCUGAGAGGACGACCAGCCACACUGGGACUGAGACACGGCCCAGACUCCUACGGGAGGCAGCAGUGGGGGAAUUUGGACAAUGGGCGCAAGCCUGAUCCAGCCAUGCCGCGUGCAGGAUGAAGGCCUUCGGGUUGUAACUGCUUUUGUACGGAACGAAAAGACUCUGGUUAAUACCUGGGUCCAUGACGGUACGUAAGAAUAAGCACCGGCUAACUACGUGCCAGCACG
rnacentral:rRNA from 1 species